rnacentral:rRNA from 1 species
GACGAACGCUGGCGGCGUGCUUAACACAUGCAAGUCGAACGGAAAGGCCCCUUUGGGGGUACUCGAGUGGCGAACGGGGGCGUAACACGUGCGUAACCUGCCCUUGACUUCGGGAUAACUUCAGGAAACUGGGGCCAAUACCGGAUAGGAAUCCUUGCUGCAUGGGGGGGGUUGGAAAGCUUCGGCGGUUUUGGAUGGACUCGCGGCAUAUCGGCUUGUUGGUGGGGUAGUGGCUUACCAAGGCGUUGACGGGUAGCCGGCCUGAGGGGGCGACCGGCCACAUUGGCACUGAGAUACGGCCCAGGCUCCUACGGGUGGCAGCAGGGGGGAAUCUUGCACGAUCGGCGGCGGCCUGGUGCAGCAACGCCGCGGGCGGGAGGACGGCCUUCGGGUUGUAAACCGCUUUCAGCAGGGGCGAAGCUUGUGGUGACGGUACCUGCAGAAGAAGCACCGGCUAACUACGUG